AGAUUUGCAUCCCGACGCAUCCUGACCUAUAUAUGAUCUGUCCUUCGGGACUAUGGACAUAAACGCGCUCGUAAUAAGCGGAUCGGACCCGGGGGCGGUACCCGGCGGCUCCACCAAUAUCUUUCGUUUGAAGAUCAUGGGGCCGAAACAGGAUCGACGAACGUCUAAAGGGGUUAGCUUUGUCUCGGCUGUCUGCCACCGUUACCGGCGAAAAUAGUACAAUUGCAAACGACAAUCGUGCUCCGGUUGCAGUUGCUGCGUAAGCAGUAACAAGACCGAAAUCUAAGCCCUUGCGCCUAGCCGCGUAAGGCGGGGUUCGCAGGUACCUGGCAACAGAAACCUGCAUU
rfam:Rhodobacteraceae bacterium KLH11 scf_1108856220445 genomic scaffold, whole genome shotgun sequence.